rnacentral:lncRNA from 1 species
GGAAAAGGAGGAGCCUCCUGUCUGAGCAUAUUUCCCCAGACAAAAAGCUCUGCUGGUAAAGCCAGGAAAGAUGCUUUUCAGUGAUAGCUCCAGUGUUUAUUAUUUCAUACAACAUGGCCAGCGUUUUGGAAGACAAUAUCUUUGCAGAAAGGUAUUGUCUAACAGAAAAGGGUAAUGAGUGGAUCCAAACUGAUAAACAGCUUUGCCAUUGUGUAGUACGAUGAAAUAGUUCCCAGAAUAUGCUGCCCAAUAAACAUCUUUCUGCAAUGAAUAGUAGCAAGCAGAUCAUGUCAAAAAGCUGCGGUGAACUGCCACCAGUCUCUUGGAUCGCUUCAUUUGGAAAUAAGAGAAAUGUUUACAUUCUGCACAUGUAAAGACACAAAGCAAGGACUGCACUCAAAAAGUCUCUCUACGAAUAAUACGUUGCUGCUGUUUGAUUCCUGCUAUAAUCAGGGAAAGUAAAUCAGAAUGCAUGAUGGAUGCCUAGUUUCAGCAUGAAUUUCACUUCCUACCAGACAGCACUUCAGCUAACUCUUCAGAUCAGCAUGUGAGUUAACCUUUUUGGAAACGAAAGGAAAUGCAACUACUGCUCUGCCCAGAAGAGAGCAAUGAGAAGCCAUUAAUCUCCCUUAUGUAACCAGGCAGGUGAUAUGGAAAUUUCCAGAUGGUGUGUUAGGACCACAUACUGCCCUGAAUCCAGGAUGUUGUUUAGAAAGGUGCUUUGGGCCUCUGCUUCAUGCCACGUUUCACCAGCUGACAUUUUAAAGCUGCUUUUUCACUACUCUGAGCUAAAUUUGCAAUACAUCGGUUUUUCUUCAGGAGAUUGGACACAUUAAAAACAAAAAUAAGGGUCAUUUGAGAUGCAGAGAUGUAGGCAUUAAUUUGAACCUAUGGAUUUGGACCUGUAUCUAUUUUCUGAUUUUUCUCUAAAAGAUUAAAGUGUUUAAAUCUUAGUCUCUAGCUUGGGCUCAUCUUUAUUUUAGUUCAAGAAGUAUAGGAAAGGCCGCCCCUUCAUCUCAUCUCUUCACACAAUAAACAUGGGAUGAAGUUCAUACUGCAAACACAGGCAGUAGAAUCUCUUGUUCACCAGCAAAAAGAGAUUAAAAGUGUCUCCUGGCACAUCUCAUCAGGGGACUUCUUUUAUCCCUUGAAUCAACAGAAGCUUUGGAUCAACAAAAAGAACUGAGGCAGGUGUCUCUUUUACCUCAUGCCAAUCUAUCCUUCUCUCCAUCUUCAGAAAAUUGUUCUUUAGCUCUCUCAAGGAUACUCAGCACUUGGAUAGCCAUUUGUUUCUGCUUUAUCUUGACAGUACAAACUAGAAUAGCAAUAUCCUCAGAAUGCAGGAGGACUCAAAAUCAUCUAAGUUUUUAUUAUUAUUAUCAUCAUAUACAUGAUAUACAGCAUUAAAAAAUUCACAUGCUGUGUCAUGUUGUCAGACAGCAGUCGUACUCCUCUUCAAG